GCAUAUCAAUAAGCGGAGGAAAAAGAAACUAACAAGGAUUCCCCUAGUAACUGCGAGUGAAGCGGGAAAAGCUCAAAUUUAAAAUCUGGUGGUCUUUGGCCAUCCGAGUUGUAAUCUAGAGAAGUGUUACCCGCGUCGGACCGUGUACAAGUCUCCUGGAAUGGAGCGUCAUAGAGGGUGAGAAUCCCGUCUUUGACACGGACGCCCGAUGCUUUGUGGUGCGCUCUCAACGAGUCGAGUUGUUUGGGAAUGCAGCUCAAAAUGGGUGGUAAAUUCCAUCUAAAGCUAAAUAUUGGCGAGAGACCGAUAGCGAACAAGUACCGUGAGGGAAAGAUGAAAAGAACUUUGGAAAGAGAGUUAAACAGUACGUGAAAUUGCUGAAAGGGAAACGCUUGAAGUCAGUCGCGUUGGCCGGAAAUCAGCCUUCCUUUUGGUUGAUGUACUUUCUGGUUGACGGGCCAGCAUCAGUUUUGACCGGUGGAAAAAGUUGUAGGGAAUGUGGCAUCUUCGGGUGUGUUAUAGCCCUGCUUCGUAUACAUCGGUUGGGACUGAGGAACUCAGCACGCCGCAAGGCCGGGGUUCGCCCACGUUCGUGCUUAGGAUGCUGGCAUAAUGGCUUUAAUCGACCCGUCUUGAAACACGGACCAAGGAGUCUAACAUGCCUGCGAGUGUUUGGGUGGAAAACCCGAGCGCGUAAUGAAAGUGAAAGUCGAGAUCCUUGUCAUGGGGAGCAUCGACGCCCGGACCAGACGUUUUCUGACGGUUCUGCGGUAGAGCAUGUAUGUUGGGACCCGAAAGAUGGUGAACUAUGCCUGAAUAGGGUGAAGCCAGAGGAAACUCUGGUGGAGGCUCGUAGCGAUUCUGGACGUGCAAAUCGAUCGUCAAAUUUGGGUAUAGGGGGCGAAAGACUAAUCGAACCAUCUAGUAGCUGGUUCCUGCCGAAG
rnacentral:rRNA from 1 species